rnacentral:ncRNA from 1 species
AAAACAAUUAUUUCUAUCUCGGAUUUGUGGUCACGAAACCACUAUUCUGAUUAGGCCCUAAUUCGGGUUGUCACAGCAACCCUCGUGUUUGUUGCCACCGUUGAGUUUGGAACCCUGAGCAGACUACCGGUGAUAAGCCGGAGGAAGGUGAAGAUGACGUCAAGUGAUCAUGCCCCUUAUGCCUUGGGCGACACACGUGCUACAAUGGACGGGACAAAGGGUCGCGAUCCCGCGAGGGUGAGCCAACUCAAAAAACCCGUCCUCAGUUCGGAUUACAGGAUGCAACUCACCUGCAUGAAGCCUGAAUCACUAGUAAUCGCCGGUUAGCCAUACGGUGGUGAAUUUGUUCUCGGGCCUUGUACACACCGCCCGUCACACUAUGGGAGCUAGCCAUGCCCAAAGUCGUUACUUAACCGCAAGGAUGGGGAUGCCGAAGGCAAGGCUAGUGACUGGAGUGAAGUCAUAACAAGGUAGCCGUACUGGAAGGUGCGGCUGGAUUACCUCCUUU